CGAAGGAUGCAAGCGUCAUCCGGAUUCAUUGGUUUAAGGGAGGCGUAGGUGGACUGAUAAGUCAGUGGUGAAAUCUUUGGGCUUAACCCAAAAAUUGCCAUUGAUACUGUUGGUCUUGAGUACAGUUGCUGUGGGCGGAAUAUGACAUGUAGUGGUGAAAUACAUAGAGAUGUCAUAGAACACCGAUUGCGAAGGCAGCUCACAAAGCUGUAACUGACACUGAGGCUCGAAAGUGCGGGGAUCAAACAGGAUUAGAUACCCUGGUAGUCCGCACUGUAAACGAUGAUUACUCGCUGCUAGAGGGCAACCUUUAGUGGCUUAGCGAAAGCGAUAAGUAAUCCACCUGGGGAGUACGCCGGCAACGGUG
rnacentral:rRNA from 1 species